UGCAGUGUCUACAUUGACAGUGUGUCGACCUAACUACAUAGAACUAAGUGCUACGCCUCUUGUGGAGGUGGAGUUAUUAAAGCCAUGUCGCAGGUGA